rnacentral:tRNA from 1 species
GCCAGCGUAGCAUAGUGGUUUGAGUGUUAGACUGAGACUCUGGAGAUCAAGGUUUAAUUCCCAGGUCAGCCA